rnacentral:rRNA from 1 species
UACGUAGGGGGCAAGCGUUGUCCGGAUUUAUUGGGCGUAAAGAGCGUGUAGGCGGCCAUACAGGUCCGUUGUGAAAACUGGAGGCUUAACCUCCAGACGUCGAUGGAAACCGUAUGGCUAGAGUCCGGAAGAGGGAAGCGGAAUUUCCGGUGUAGCGGUGAAAUGCGUAGAUAUCGGAAGGAACACCAGUGGCGAAAGCGGCUUCCUGGACCGACACUGACGCUGAGGCGCGAAAGCUAGGGGAGCAAACGGG